AGCUCAUAAAUCUCCCCACCUUUUUUUGAACUGACAAAGAUGGCUGGUUUUGCUUCAUGUUGUGACAAAACUUACACUAUUUAUAACUAACUUCAACAACAACGGUCAAGUGAAUCAGUGUGAUUUCACAAACUUUGUAGUAAUAGGCAUUUCAAUUAAAUUUCGAAGUGAAUACAUGAUGGCAGAAGAAAGUGACCAAAAAUCGUUACUAGGUCUGUUAAACGGGCUAGCUAGACGAGAAUAUUAUGGCGAUGCAUCUGUCACUAACGAAUUUUUGCACCAUGAAUUAUAUCCAGAUUUAUCAGUUGAAAAUUUUAAUCUAAUUCUCGAUAAAUCCUUACAAAAUAUUAGGAGAAUAGCAGAAUCAGACAUGGACACUAAUCAGUUGGAAGCAUUUCUGACUUCACAGACCAAGCGAAAGGAGGGUGGAUUAACUGAUGACGAGGUCAAAGUAUUUACCCGGUUUUGGAGGAAUCACAGGUCUCGGAUUCAUGACAUACUGAUUCAAAGGUGUCAGUGGAAUCCUUCUUUGAAGGCUGUUACUUGGCGAGUUGAUCUAAAAAGCCAAACAAGGGAUAAUUCAGAAGUGAAUUCACCAGUAGCUAUUCUUGAUAUUCAGUUAAACAAUCAACUGAAUGAUACCAGAGAAGAUGAUCGGAUAAGGUUUGAAGUAUCGGAAGGACAGUUGACUGGUAUCAUAGAGAGACUUCGAGAAGUGGAAACAUUGUUGAGCAGCUAUACCCAAACUUAGUAAAUGUGAAAUAUACUAACAUGCAUACAGCUAUGGUGCUACAUAUCAAUGGACAGACACUGACAGUUUCUAAAAGAUCAUAUUUAGUAGCAACUCCUGUGUGGACUCUGGUUCAUCACAGAUGCACCAUCUGUAGCUAGCAACUCUUGUGUGGACCCUGUUCAUCAUAGAUGCACCAUCUGUAGCAAUGCCGAACCAUGUGUUCCAACUGCAGAUCAUGCUCCAGCAUCACCUUCCUGAUCCCAUUAUACACCCUGUCUGCAGAAGUAGCAGAAAGUUCAGACAUGCCUAGGAAUUUUUAUGGACUUAAUGAUCCACUCCAAUAAAUCUCGGAUAUACAAUAACAGUAUACAGGUUUGAGCUAUCUGUCGCCUCAUCAGUAGAAAUGGCAAAAACAUCAAAUGGGCCUUCUUGUUGUUCUUUCUUCCCUCACCACUGUGGCAAGAGCUUUGUAUAUGUCAUUAACAGAAUCAUUAUGAUGGUAGUGGCUUGAUGUUUCUGUUUCAAAGAUGUUUAAAUGAUGUCACACUCUGUCAAUGAAAAAUAUGAGACAAAACUGUAGCCAGUAUAUCAUGAAUAAAAUUAGACCAAAUAUUUUAACUAAAUCUAUAUUUAUAUAGUUUACAUUUAAGGAGUAGAUUAAUGUUUUUGAACCAAUUAAUGUUUCAUACAAUAAAAUAUGCUGCAGUCUCUUCAAUACUAUCAUGGGUGUGGUAUUUCAUGAAGUAGUUUUCAAAAUGCACACUUAACUUACAUUGAAAAUCUGAAGCCGAAUGAGAAGAGUAUUUUUUGAUGCUGGUAUGCCUUCCUUGGCUUGGGUCAGAACAGUUGCCAUUUGAAAAAUCUGUUACACUGGAAUAAGAAUUCACAGUGACAACUUUCAUGUGUUGUUUUAACUUUGAUUUAAUAGCACCAUCAUGAUGAUCAACCAUGUUUUCUUGCUUCAUCAAAUCAUCCCUUUUGGCCUGUCCAAAUCUUUGCUGACUGUAAAGAUGUCUUUUUUUUUUCAUUUCAUUUCACACAGAGCAUUUCAGCAGAUCAUCCCUCACUACAAACCAUGUAAAGCCCUUUGAACCAUUGAGUCUUAACAGUUCUCGGGUGGUCACGAUCAAACUUCUUCUUUUUCUGCUUGUCUAGAUCAUUAUUAUUAUUGUUCUUGUCUGGGACUAGCAGGGAAAAAAAAAGACUAUAUUGGUUUGAUUUCUUUUCACUUUUACUAUUCUGGAGCCUGGGACGUCAUCUUUACAGGGCUUGGAUUUGACCUAAGUAAGACUAUCUUUGAUUGGAUAAAAUUACCCCUUCAGUUUCUCAAGAAAAAGUUCCAGUGUAAAAAAUAGAUAACCAUAGGCAUGUGCUACACUGGCAAUGAAGUUCGAACAUAUGGUGAAGGGCAACAGGAAAUUAAACCAAAAAAAUAUUAAAAUGUGUUGACAAUUGAUUGAGUGGUCUGGUAAUAUAUAUUUAUUUGUGUGGGUGAAUUUCUAUUCUCAAUGAAGACAUCAAACAACUUCAGUUAAAAGUUAAUUUAUUCAACCCGACAUUAUGGCUUUUGCCUUUUUCGAGGGUCAGUGAACGUCACAGGUACCAAACUGAUUUUAAAUUACAGUAACUGAAAAGAAAAUAGAACUACAACAAUAUAAGGGAACAGUAUACAUGAAACGUGCUAAAAGUAUUGUUAAUGGGUUAGAGUUGCUGAUCAUAAU